rnacentral:rRNA from 1 species
AAACUCAAAGGAAUUGACGGGGCCCGCACAAGCGUGGAGCAUGUGGUUUAAUUCGACGCAACGCGAAGAACCUUACCAGGGCUUGACAUCCCCUGACCGCGUAUGAAAGUACGUUUUCACCCUCGGGUGACAGGGAGACAGGUGGUGCAUGGUUGUCGUCAGCUCGUGUCGUGAGAUGUUGGGUUAAGUCCCGCAACGAGCGCAACCCCUACGUUUAGUUGCUAACGCGUGAAGGCGAGCACUCUAGACGAACUGCCGUUGACAAAACGGAGGAAGUGGGGAUGACGUCAAAUCAUCAUGCCCCUUAUGUUCUGGGCUACACACGUGCUACAAUGGCCGGUACAGACGGACGCAAAGCCGCGAGGUGGAGCAAAUCCUAAAAAGCCGGUCUCAGUUCGGAUUGCAGGCUGCAAUUCGCCUGCAUGAAGUCGGAAUCGCUAGUAAUCGCAGGUCAGCAUACUGCGGUGAAUACGUUCCCGGGCCUU